GAUGAACGCUGGCGGCGUGCCUAAUACAUGCAAGUCGAGCGAACGGACGAGAAGCUUGCUUCUCUGAUGUUAGCGGCGGACGGGUGAGUAACACGUGGAUAACCUACCUAUAAGACUGGGAUAACUUCGGGAAACCGGAGCUAAUACCGGAUAAUAUUUUGAACCGCAUGGUUCAAAAGUGAAAGACGGUCUUGCUGUCACUUAUAGAUGGAUCCGCGCUGCAUUAGCUAGUUGGUAAGGUAACGGCUUACCAAGGCAACGAUGCAUAGCCGACCUGAGAGGGUGAUCGGCCACACUGGAACUGAGACACGGUCCAGACUCCUACGGGAGGCAGCAGUAGGGAAUAUUCCGCAAUGGGCGCAAGCCUGACGGAGCAACGCCGCGUGAGUGAUGAAGGUCUUCGGAUCGUAAAACUCUGUUAUUAGGGAAGAACAGAUGUGUAAGUAACUGUGCACAUCUUGACGGUACCUAAUCAGAAAGCCACGGCUAACUACGUG
rnacentral:rRNA from 1 species